AUCUGUUUAGGCUUUUUAAUACCAUGUUUUGAUCUUGUUGUCAUGGUGUGCCUUGGAGCCUCAUUAGUUGGUGGUACAACUUGAGUUGGCUGCGGUGAUACAGUGGGUAUCACAGCUGGAGUAGGAGGGGUAGUGGAGGACUGAUUUUGAAGAAUUGCACGAAACAGAGGAGAGGGUCCUGUGUCUUUGUCGAGGAAGUCAUAAGUUGGCGACUUCUCGGUUUUUGAAGAAGGAUAAGGGAAGCACGUUUCAUCAAAGUUAACGUGUCUGGAGAUGAUGAUCUUUUUGGUAGUAAGAUCGAAGCAACGGUACCCUUUUUGGUUAAGGGGGUAACCGAGGAAGAUGCAAGGAGAGGAUCGAGGUGAUAAUUUUGGUGUAUGGGAAUGGUUUAUGAUAAUUUUGGUAGCAAAGACACCCAAACGUGCGAAGGUGAGUGUAUGAGGGAGUUUUGGAGAAAAGUUUGGUAUAGGGUGUUUUGUUUUUGAUAGCUUUUGAGGGAAGGAUAUUUAAGAUAUGAACAACGGUAUGCAUAGCUUCAACCCAGAAAGUAGGUGGUAGUUGAGCUUGGAACAGGAGGCUUCGGAUACCGUUGUUAAUAGUGCGGAUCAUCCUCUCAAAUCGGCCGUUUUGUUGGGAUGUAUAGGGACAAGAGAAGCGAAAUUGAAUGCCAUGAGCGGCAAAAUAAUCAUGGAACUUGGCAUUGUCAUAUUCUUUGCCGUUGUCACAUUGGAAGGAUUUGAUUCCUCUGUUGAAUUGAGUUUGAACAUAUGCAACAAAAUGCAGGAACUUAGAGAAGGCUUCCGACUUUGAUCUGAGAGGAUAAACCCAUAAGAAAUGUGAGAAUUCAUCCAAAAACAGAAUGUAAUAGUUAAUUCCGCUUAAGCUUUGGACAGGUGAUGUCCAUAAGUCUGAAUGAAUAACAUCAAAAGGUGCAGUGACAGUAGAAAUAGAUGUUGAAAAGGGAAGUUUUAUUUGCUUUCCAAGCUGACAAGAGUUGCAGAGGUUUGUGAGGUCUCUUUUAUUACAAGGUAAAGUAGAGUUUGAGAGAAGAGAAUUUAAAGUGUGGGUGCUCGGGUGAGCAAGACGACAGUGCCAGAUGGUGGAGGUAGUUGCCGAAAGGGCUGAAUGCUGGCCUGUAGCUUUAUUGAGAGAAGGGACUAAGGGAUAUAGAUCACCAGUACUGUCACUGCGGAGAAUCAUCUCCUUGCUCAUUAGAUCCUUCACAGAGAAACCACAUGGAUCAAAUUCAAUCGAGCAAGAGUUAUCACGAGUAAAUUGUCUUACAGAAAUUAGGUUUUUGAUAAUAGAUGGAGUAACCAACACGUUUGAGAGAGAGAGAGGACGAGUGUGAGUUGAAAAAGAAAUUGAACCGGCUUUUUGUAUAGGAAUGCUCGAACCAUUUGCAACCGUAACGGACUUUCCAGUGCUAAGAUCAAAAGUGUACUUUAGAUUACCUGUCGAGUUGGACAAAUGUGCAGUAGCACCUGAAUCCAUGUACCAUUGCGCGUCGCUAGGAUCCACCAGUGUCAUUGUGUUGAAUGCUGUCGCGAAAUCAACAGUUGUCUCGGGUUUUUGACCUCCGUUGUUUGGACCUUGGAUCUGCAUAGCUGGUCGUGGACCUAGGAUCCCUUGUUGGAAGUACUGUCGUUGGGGACCUUGAAACCAUGGUGGUAGCUGUUGUUGUUGUGGCCAGAACUGGUAACCGUUAGUCCAGAAAGGGGCGUUCCAUUGUUGAACCAGAGGGCGAGGCUGAUUGUUGAAUCCUCUGCCACGACCUCUGUGAUUGUUUCUGCCACGUCCUCUGUUCUGAGUUGAGCGUUUGUUGUUGUGAUGCUGAUGUUGAUGUGGAGAGCUUUUGCGGUCAGUGGUUGUUUCUGAGGUGGUGAGUAUCUUGUCUGAUGAUGAUGUCGUCGACAUACAGCAAGAGAUAUGCGCGAUCUGCUCCUUUCCUGUAGAUGAACAAGCUUGUGUCGCUUUUAGAUUGGUUAAACCCAUGUUGAGUUAUAAAAGCAACAAACCGAGCAUUCCAAGCUCUUGGCGCUUGUUUGAGACCAUAUAUGGAUCGCUUAAGUCUGCAGACAUGUUUCGGCUUUGUUUCAUCAACAAAACCGGGGGGUUGAAACAUGUAGACGGUCUCGUCAAGGUUGCCAUGAAGAAAAGCAUUCUGGACGUCAAGUUGGUUGAUUGGCCAAGAUUUAGCUAGUGCGAGAUGUAGCACCAGACGGAUCGUGGCAGGCUUGACGAUGGGGCUGUAAGUCUCAGUGAAAUCUAUGCCCUCUUUCUGUGAUUUCCCAUUUGCAACCAGCCUCGAUUUGUGUUUCUCGAAUGUGCCAUCUGCAUUGUAUUUAUGCUUAUGUAGCCACAUUGAACGCACGAUGUUAGUGUUAGGUGGUCUCGGAACAAGAUCAAAAGUAUCACUUUUAAUAAUAGCAUCGUACUCGUCGUUCAUAGACGGGUUCCAAUUUGGAUCUUUGAGAGCAUCAAGAUAGCUUUUUGGUAGAGGUGAUUUGGUUUCUGAUAAGAGAGAGACAAUCUGUUUAGGCUUUUUAAUACCAUGUUUUGAUUUUGUUGUCAUGGUGUGCCUUGGAGCCUCAUUAGUUGGUGGUACAACUUGAGUUGGCUGCGGUGAUACAGUGGGUAUCACAGCUAGAGUAGGAGUGGUAGUGGAGGACUGAUUUUGAAGAAUUGCACGAAACAGAGGAGAGGGUCCCGUGUCUUUGUCGAGGAAGUCAUAAGUUGGCGACUUCUCGGUUUUUGAAGAAGGAUAAGGGAAGCACGUUUCAUCAAAGUUAACGUGUCUGGAGAUGAUGAUCUUUUUGGUAGUAAGAUCGAAGCAACGGUACCCUUUUUGGUUAAGGGGGUAACCGAGGAAGAUGCAAGGAGAGGAUCGAGGUGAUAAUUUUGGUGUAUGGGAAUGGUUUAUGAUAAUUUUGGUAGCAAAGACACCCAAACGUGCGAAGGUGAGUGUAUGAGGGAGUUUUGGAGAAAAGUUUGGUAUAGAUAGCUUUUUGGUAGGGGUGAUUUGGUUUCUGAUAAGAGGGAGACAAUCUGUUUAGGCUUUUUAAUACCAUGUUUUGAUCUUGUUGUCAUGGUGUGCCUUGGAGCCUCAUUAGUAGGUGGUACAACUUGAGUUGGCUGCGGUGAUACAGUGGGUAUCACAGCUGGAGUAGGAGUGGUAGUGGAGAACUGAUUUUGAAGAAUUGCACGGAACAGAGGAGAGGGUCCC
rnacentral:lncRNA from 1 species